rnacentral:rRNA from 1 species
UCCUACGUGAGGCAGCAGUGGGGAAUCUUGGACAAUGGGCGCAAGCCUGAUCCAGCCAUGCCGCGUGAGUGAAGAAGGCCUUCGGGUUGUAAAGCUCUUUAAGCAGGGAGGAAAAGACAAUAGUGAAUAAAGGUAUACGUGACGGUUCCCACAAAAAAAAACCCCCCGC